rnacentral:lncRNA from 1 species
AUGGAAUGUCCUUCAUCCCCUUCUUCAUCUGGGGGCAUCUCUGCCUACUUGAAGGCGGGGACAUGUGUGGCCAUUGCUGACUCCACCGGGAAUGAGUUGUGUCGCACGGGCUCCUCCUGUUUUUAUCACAGAGUCACGGCUCACUGUUCCCGGAGCUGCACCGGACGACCGGCGUGGCGGGCUCGCGCGUGCGCCCUCGAGUGUGAGGUCCUGCCUUUGCUCACUGGGGCCCCCGCCCCCGCCCCCGUCCUGCGAGGAGGCUGCCCUCGUUCUCAUCCCUUUCGCUGGUCCGGCUGCGCCUCCCCAUUCCGGAGGCGGCUGAGCGCGGGACCGAGGGACGGAGGGACGGGACGGAGGACGGAGGGACGCAGCCCUGCUCGCGCCCGCAGCCCGCACUCGGUCCCCGUCCCUCCCGGACCGCCGCGGCGACCCAAGCGCCAGGGGGCGCCAGCUCCUCGGCUUUCCGGCCCAGCCCCGCGCGGGGCCCCGCGUCCCUUCCCCACGUGCCGCCCGGGGGUCGCCGGCCUCACCCCGCCUGCGCCGGGUCCCCGCGGCCGGUCGGGCACCGCUCCGCGUGGUCGCGCCGGAUGCGGAUGCGCGCCAAGCCCUCCGAGGGAGGGUCCGGGGCUUCACCGUCGGGUGCGGACCCGGGGCCAGCGGAGGCCCCUCGACUCGCCGAGCAGCGCCCCCGGCCCCCGACGACCGCACGGCCCCUGUUCGGAGCCCCUCUGUCGCCCCCCGGGGUCCUGCGUCCGCGCGGCGCGCACACCCCGGCAGCACAGGCCGGCUGCACUGUCCUCCCCGCGGUUCCCUUACACCCGGUGCCCCCGGCCCGCAGAUUCCCCCGCCUCGCCCGCCCGGGGGCACCUGCCGCGUCCGCCCCUGCGCGGCCCGGGAGGUCACACCUGCGCCCCUCGUCGUCCCGGCAGUGUCGGGUCCAGCCUGCGCGCGAGGCUCGGCCCGCUGCGGCCUCCCAGUAGGCUCGGGAGUAGGCGGCCGCGUGCCCGGCUCCGGGCCUGCGGGGCCCGCGGCAGCUGCAAACAGCAGCCCGAGAGGUGCGCUUGA